AGUCACUGACAUUAGAUACCCCUGUAGUCCAGGGUGUAAACGCUGCAGACUUGGUGUUGGAGGCCCUUUGGGGGCAUUCAGUGCCGGAGAGAAGUUGUUAAGUCUGCUACUUGGGGAGUACGUCCGCAAGGAUGAAACUUAAAGGAAUUGGCGGGGGAGCACCGCAACGGGAGGAGCGUGCGGUUUAAUUGGAUUCAACACCGUAAAACUCACCAGGGAAGACUGCUACAUGAAGGCCGAGAUGAAGACUCUGCUAGAUUUUCAG
rnacentral:rRNA from 1 species